rnacentral:rRNA from 1 species
AUUGAACGCUGGCGGCGUGCCUAACACAUGCAAGUCGAGCGGUAACAGGUGUAGCAAUACAUGCUGACGAGCGGCGGACGGGUGAGUAACGCUUGGGAAUCUGCCUGAUAGUGGGGGACAACCCGGGGAAACUCGGGCUAAUACCGCAUACGCACUACGGUGGAAAGCCGGGGACCGCAAGGCCUGGCGCUAUCAGAUGAGCCCAAGUCGGAUUAGCUAGUUGGAGGGUAACGGCCUACCAAGGCGACGAUCCGUAACUGGUCUGAGAGGACGACCAGUCACACCGGAACUGAGACACGGGU